GGAAAAUAGACCUCAUGAGGACCCUGAACACGGAAAAGGACAAUAUACAGAGAAAAGGAUUCAUCUAUCUAGCAAACUUCCAUCAUGGAUUAGAUCAAUGGUUCCCAAAAUAUUCUA